CCCAGCUGCAAGUUCUGACCCCCAGCACCCACCCCCUCGGCUCUUCUACCACCCCUGAGCCCCCCGUUAUCUACGCCCAGGUGGGCACUGGGGGACCCCGCUGAUGCCCCCACCUGCGGGCACAAAGACGUGGAUGUUGUGUGCACACACCAAGUGUGCACGGUGCCGGUGUGCUCUGUGUGCUCACCAUCACCUGUGAAUUACAUCCCUAUACCUGUGCACAUGAACACGUGGCUGUGGAUUAAACGUGUGUGCACCAUCCCGUGUGCACAACAGGUGUGCAAACACACGUGUGGGACACGCUGAACUCUGCGCCUCCGUGUGUGUCUGUGCGACGCCGUGUGCGUGCGCCAAACAGCUGGACACACUGCUGCUCACGUGUGUCCUUAGCAUGUGCUCCCUGUGUCUGCACUCCAUGUGUGCCUGCACAGCACAUGCAUGCCAUCAACCCCUGCCCCGUGUCUGCACCACAUCUGUCCCCGCAGCACACACGUGUCCUUAUCGUGUGCUCCCCACGGCGCAUCUCCAUCUCCACAACCCAAACCAGCCCCCAUCCCACCACGGUUUUGGGGCAGGAUUUAUGGUGAGGAGGCAAAAUGCAUUUUGAUGACAUGAUGUCACCUCCUCAUCUAACAGUUUCCCCAGUGAGUGGUGGCAGCGUUGGGGCCUCCACAGGGUGCACUGCAGUGCUGUCACACAGCAGCAGCUCAGCACCACACAGCUUUUAUUCUCACUGACCCGUCCCACUGAGUUCGGGGAAAGAAUCGGAGAAACCAAGGAAGAAUUCAUCAGUGGAGAUGAAAUCUAUUCACUGAGAUCGAAAAGGAGAAGAGAAAAAACAGUAAUGAUAACCAUAUAGAUGUAUAGAUUUUUCCAAAGCAAGUGAUGCACAAAGGAAUUGCUCAGCACCCAAAGACCAAGGAUAGAACCAGGACAGAAUGGGAAGCAGGGGAUUCAGGGGGGAGAAAUGGAGAAAAAGAGAAUUGCGGGAGCGUAGGGAUCAUUUUAAUGUUAAAAAAAAGGAAAGGAAUAGGAAAAAAAAACGGGCUGAGCUUCUUAAUGCAUUUAUUUUCAGCGAUAUUUCUGGAAGCAGGGGGGAUAAAAGCAGCGCAGGAAGCGCCUGCAAGUUAAAAAGGAGGGAAAAAAGUGGGGAAAAUGGCCUCAAAACCGCUUAAAGUGGCUUAAAAAUGAGAGAAACCGGCCUCGAAACCGGUUAAAUCGCUGAGAACUAAGAGAAAGUACAGCUCCCACCGCUCCGCUGCCGCAGCGCCAUCUGAAAGCGCGCCGCCCUGCUCCCCUUU
rnacentral:lncRNA from 1 species